rnacentral:snoRNA from 1 species
AAGACUAUACUUUCAGGGAUCAUUUUUAUAGUUUGUUAGUAGGGAAGCUUUUCUGAACGUGUAGAGCAUCCAAAGUCACGAGGAGAGGAGCAGGCAUAGUGUUCUCUCCUGAGCGUGAAGUGGGGGUUUUUGGUGUUGCCUCAGUGCAACUGCUGUUUGCCAUUCAUGAUCGUUCUUCUCUCCACUUUGGAGAGUAAGAGGGAGAGGGCGUGGUUUGAGUGGU